UACGUAGGGGGCUAGCGUUGUCCGGAAUCCUUGGGCGUAAAGCGCGUGUAGGCGGUCCGGUCAGUUCGCUGUGAAAGUCGGGGGCUCAACCCUCGGAUGCCGGUGGAUACUGUCGGGCUUGAGUACGGAAGAGGCGAGUGGAAUUCCUGGUGUAGCGGUGAAAUGCGCAGAUAUCAGGAGGAACACCGAUGGCGAAGGCAGCUCGCUGGGACGGUACUGACGCUGAGGCGCGAAAGCGUGGGGAGCAAACAGG
rnacentral:rRNA from 1 species